rnacentral:lncRNA from 1 species
GGGACCUUGUAAGGCUGACUUUGGAAUAUGACUGCAUUCUGAAAACACAUCCAGCUAUGUAUUUCUAGAGUCUGAAGAUGGAGAGAUUUCCAGUUUAAGAUGCCAUACUGAACAUAUACACUGAUCUCUUUGCCUUUGGAAACUCCAUUAAGCUGAUUGUAAAGGAGGAAAAGGAUUCUCACAUGACAAUGAAGAGACUGAAGAAGUAUCAUCAAUGGAUAAAGCAGAAUAGAAAUAGCAGCCGCCUGGACCAUACCUAGAAAGGAAUCAUUUUGCCUGGCAGAAGCAUGAAACAGUUCCAUAUUUGAGAUGGCAUUUACCACUGAGGGAAAAAAAAAGUAUCAUGUGAAAGAAGCAAGAAUUGGACUGACCACACACUUGUCAUUGCCAAUCAGAUGCUGCAAAACAAUGGAUCUGUUUUUCAGAGUUCUGAAAUAAAAUGCUAAUCAAACUAGAAUCUGCUUAGCUAAGACACUGCCAAAUAUGAAGACCAAAUAAAAGAUUUUCAGAUGUGUCAUAAUUCAGAGUUUAUACUCCAAGCAUUCUUUUGUAGAAAGGAACUCAAGGGUGUAUUUCAGCAAAAUAAAGAAGUAAAGUACUAGAGCCAUCACUCAGAGAGCAAAUGACCAGACCAGAUGCUAACAACAAACAUUGUGUGACUUCCUAUCUCCAGCCACUUCUGAAGUCAGAUCUAUUUUCUUGAGUAAGUAAUUUUUUUCCAAGUUUGGGUUGUUUUUCAUACCAUUUGGAACCAAGAGUUCUGGUAGUCACAAUAAUGUUUGGAGAUACUAGAUGGACUGUAAAAGCAGAAUCUCUAUGUACGUUCUCCGCUGAACAGCACGGGAAUUGGUGCCACAGAGAAAGAAAUGUGAUCCUACCAAACCAGUUAGCUCAAGAGCAAU